UUCCAGCACCCCGAGUGGUCGGGACGAUUAUUGGGCCUAAAGCAUCCGUAGCCGGUUUUACAAGUCCUCCGUUAAAUCCAGCUGCUUAACAGAUGGGCUGCGGAGGAUACUAUAAGACUAGGAGGCAGGAGAGGCAAGCGGUACUCAGUGGGUAGGGGUAAAAUCCGUUGAUCCAUUGAAGACCACCAGUGGCGAAGGCGGCUUGCCAGAAUGCGCUCGACGGUGAGGGAUGAAAGCUGGGGGAGCAAACCGG
rnacentral:rRNA from 1 species